rnacentral:rRNA from 1 species
UACGUAGGGGGCAAGCGUUGUCCGGAAUCAUUGGGCGUAAAGCGCGCGUAGGCGGCCCGGUAAGUCCGCUGUAAAAGUCCAGGGCUCAACCCUGGAAAGCCGGUGGAUACUGUCGGGCUAGAGUCCGGAAGAGGCGAGUGGAAUUCCUGGUGUAGCGGUGGAAUGCGCAGAUAUCAGGAGGAACACCGGUGGCGAAGGCGGAUCUCUGGGCCUUGCCUGGCGCUGAGGCGCGAAAGCUAGGGGAGCGAACAGG